CAGAGGGGGUGUGUCCGCGCCUCCUGCUCCGGGUCGCUGGCGCACCUAGGGCAAAUCUCCCGGGGAGAACCCCAGUACCCCACCCGCCAGAUCUGGGGGCGCCCCCAGGGGUCCUGUGUAGGUGGCAGAACCGGGGAGCAGAGGCAGCGACACCAGUAGCAGCAAAUAUAGAUAAAUUGCCAUCAGCAGAAAAAGUAUUUUUAUCUGUGAGACAUUUUAUGCAAACCUCAUGGGAACCACAAAACAAAACUCCAGGGCAGAAAAAGAACAGCCUAAAGCCAGCAGAAGGAAGGAAAUAAUCAAGAUGAGAGCACGGAAAUAGCUGUUUGAGAUGUUUUCAGAGAAAUUGGCAAACCGGAACUCUAAGUAGAAACUUCCAGUGAUUAGCUACUGAAAAUUCAAAUUCAAAUACAAAACACAGGCCGAAAGCAGCGGAGAGGGCAUGCAUUCUCGGUUCUACACACAGAGAGGAUUUUUGGCCAUUACAAACCCCGACUUUGUGGCCAGGGCUCAUGAGGCCUCAGACCGGGACUAUGGGUUUCUGGCCUCGCGGAAGGCACAUCAGACAGCUUCUCCUGCACACCUGGCUACAGGCGACUCUGCAGUCUUCGCCCUUAACUUCAUCACAAGGCAAAUGGGCACGGAUGUCCCAUUACUUUCAUUUAACCUGCUCUUGCGUGGGCUGGAUGCAGAGAGAGAGAGCACAAGUAGGGGGAGCAGCAGGUAGAAGGAGUGGGAGAAGCAAGCUCCCUGAGCAGAGAGCCCAAUGUGGGGCUCGAUCCCAGGACCCUGGGAUCAUGACCUAAGCCAAAGGCAGAUGCUUAACCAACUGAGUCACCAGGCCUCCCAAAACUGCUUUCUCCUGAGUGGAACCAAAGCCAGAAAUCAAUUUCUGUGUCGACUGCCCCCUGGCCUUCUGCAACCAACCCUUCCUCAGCCAACAUCUUCUGCACAGCCAUCCCCCUAGGACCAUCACAGUUUGGGGUGCAGAAAAAUCACCUUCAACCAAGGGAUCUUUGCCACAAGACACAAGAACAACAACUUUCUGCACAAAGCUGCUGGAGCAACAGAGCAGAAGCACGUGAGAAAGAAGAUACCAAGUCCUAGUUAUGGAGGACAAGUAAAAGGGGGUCCUAGGGGUGCUUUGCAGCCCACUGCUAGGACAGCCUCUACACAUUAAGGGAGGAACUAGCAACAGAGUGGCAGGCAUAGAGCCCAGCCUGUUAAAGAGGGCAAGCCCCCAGGAAGCAGACACCUAUGAAGGGUGUAGACUUUCGGGAUGUGGAGCAGUCAGUUGGGCAGAGUGUGAGAUACCUUAGCCAGCAGUCAGACCUCCCUCAUAUGGGUCACACUGAGAGGAGAGGACUUAUGCGCAGGCUUUGGCAGUAAGUCAUCCCUCCAGAGACCCCAGAGGAUGCACCUGGGUAAACAGCCCUUCGUGUGCCAGGAACAUGGGUGAGGCUUCAGUUGGAAGUCAAAUCUUCACAGACAUCAGAGUUCACACCCAGGGAAGAAGUGUUUUCUAUUCAGUGAGUGUAGGCGGUUUUUACUAAGAAAUCAACCGUCAUUGCACAUCAGAGGACACACUUAGGGGAGAAGCCAUAUGUGUGUAGGGAUUGUGGGCAUGGCUUUAGACACGUCAAUCCUUGUGAAACACCAUAGAAUACACUCAAAGAAGACAUCCUUAGUGUGCAGGGAGUAUGGACAGGGCUUCUGACUGAAGUCCAGUCUCCUCAGACACCAGUGCAUGGGCUGGUGUCUGUGCCUUACGUGCCUGGAGUGGCUGGGCUGUGCCUUACGUGCCUGGAGUGUGGGUGCAGCUUCAGCUGUAAGUCAGCCCUGGUCAGACACCUGUGGACACACUUGGGAGAGAAACACUUUGUGUGCAGGGUGUGGGGGCUUCAGCUUUAAGGGAGCUCUCUUCAGAAAGCAGAAAACACACCAGGGGAAGAGCAGUGGCUCUUUGUGUUCAGGGAAUGUAUGAAAAGUUUUAGCUGUAACAGCCCUUAAGUGGACACCAGCAGACACACUCAGCAGAGAAGCCUUUUGUGUGUAAGAAGUGUGGGCAAGGCUUUGGCCUGAAGUCAGAUCUCAUCACACAUCAGAAGAGACACUCAGGGGAAAAGUGUUUGUGUCUAGGGAAUGUUGAAAAGGCUUUAGAUGGCAGCAAGCCUUUGUCAGAUAUAGGAUGUGCCCAGGGGAGAAUAUCUGUGCAGGCCGUGUAGGUGAGGCUUUACUUGGAAGUCACAUCUUAGUGUAUACGGAGAACAAAAUUUGGUCAUCACCACCCAUCCCAGCACACAGAGGCUUCAGGAAUGGUUUCCUGCCCUUUACAUUACUCCGUGAAUGUGAAAAUGGCAUGGGAAGCAAUAGAAAAACGGAGUUUUUCUUGUCAAAGAAAUAGUCAAACUGUGGUCUGAUUUCUCUCCCUGGGUCAUUUGUUAUAACGUGAGUUCUCAACUGUAAACAUGCACCUUAUUUAUUUGUGAGGAUGGAGGACAUCAGGACUGGUAUAGAGAACUCAAACUCAGCCUUCGUUUCCCCCAAGAAGUUGAACUGAGAAAAAUGAGUCCAGAGUUACAUUUGUAUUUUUGUUAUAGAAUCUAAAAUUGCCCUCAGGUGGAAGAGAGUUCCAGGUGUGGGAGACAGGUCUCUUGGGGGAUCUUGUCUUUUGAUUUGGACACUCCUUUUGAGGUUUGUUUGACAAGCAGCCUCGGCAGAGUGUCUUCCUCUAGGGCAGAGAGCAGAUUUGUUUCGUUUCUAGGAUAAUAGAGAAUGUCUUUCCAGGACAAAAUUUGGGCAGGUUUGCUCGCAGCUGCUAUAGAAAGCUUGGGGAUUUUCUAGGCUUGGAGAUCCACAGCUGUGACACAAACCCAUUGUGACCUAUCCCCCUGACCCCACUUCCGUGUCACUCCUUUGUGAUGUAGGGCAUAUGGGGAACCAUGAACAAGAAGCUCAUGUUGUCUAUUGUAUCAUGAGUAAUAAAGUCCCUUUUCUAUGGUCCAGGAGUUUGGGGUCUUCCACUAGAAUCCAUGAAACUGGCAAGCUAGAGUAUGGUGAAGUUUGACUUUUCAUAGUUUUUUUUUUAAGGGGGGCAUGAUUUAAAAAAAGACAUAAAAACUGUCGAGAUGUAAUUCACAUACCAUAAAAUUCACCCUUUUAAAGUUUACAAGGCAAUGACUUUCAACAAAUUCACAGAGUUGUGCAUCUAUCACAAUUUUACAGUGUUUUCAUUACCCCAAAAAGAAAACCUAUAGCUAUCAUUCCAAAAUCCCUACAUCUCCACAGCUCUAGGAAACCACUAACCUGCUGUCUGUUCUUAUAGAUUUUUCUUAUUCUGAACACUUCAUAUUAAUGGAAUCCUACAAUAUGCUGUGGCCUUUGUGAAUGGCUUCUUUCACUUAGCAUGAUAUUUUCAGGGUUCAUGUUGUAGCACGCAUCAAUACUUCAUUUAUUUUGUUGCCGAAUAGUAUUCCAUUUUGUGGAUAUACUACACACUUAUCUUUGUUUCCACUUUUUGGUUACUAUAAGUAAUGCUGCUCUGAACAUUCAUGUAUAAGUUUUUGUAUGGACAGAUGUUUUCAUGUCUCUUGGAGAUUAUAUAUAUAUAUAUCAGAGUGGGAUUGCUCAAUGAUAUCAUAAAGUUUAGAGAUCAAAACAGAAAUCAUUGAAAUAGAAAACAGAAAAACAGAAAAUGAAUGAAACACCUUGUUCUCUGAGAUCAACAACAUGUCAAUAAAUCAUUUAGAUGGAAUAGACAAAUUUAUAAAUGACAAACCACUAGUAUAGUAGACCUGAGCAAGUUGGUGAAAUGAGAAGACCCAGGUUCCUUUUCUUCAAUGGGGAUAACAAUAUAGGAACCAAAUAGCCUUUCUGAGAACUUUAGAAACUGGUUAAGAGGUGGCAGAACCCCAGGCAAGUGCAAAGCCAAGAAGAAUUGCAUCAAAGUAGGUAAGAGAGUUUAUUGCACAUUGCACACCACCCCCCCCCCAGCACAACACACUUUUAAACAACCAAUGGGUCAAAGAAGAAAUAACAAGGGAAAUGAGAAAAUAUCUUGAGACAAAUGAAAAUGAAAACACAACACACCAAAACUUAUGGAUGAAGUGAAAGCAGUACAGAAAGAACACUGGUAUAAGACUAUAAUGGUAAAAGCAACAUUAAAAAAAGGAGAAAGAUCUCAAAUCAUCUACCCAACUUUACACUUCAAGAAAUUAGAAAAAAGAAUAAACAACCCAAAGUUGGCAGAAGGAAAGAAAG